rnacentral:rRNA from 1 species
GUCGUAACAAGGUUUCCGUAGGUGAACCUGCGGAAGGAUCAUUACAGUAUUCC